AGUGAACGCUGGCGGUAGGCCUAACACAUGCAAGUCGAACGGCAGCACAGUAAGAGCUUGCUCUUACGGGUGGCGAGUGGCGGACGGGUGAGGAAUACAUCGGAAUCUACUUUUUCGUGGGGGAUAACGUAGGGAAACUUACGCUAAUACCGCAUACGACCUACGGGUGAAAGCAUGGGAUCUUCGGACCUUGCGCGAUUGAAUGAGCCGAUGUCGGAUUAGCUAGUUGGCGGGGUAAAGGCCCACCAAGGCGACGAUCCGUAGCUGGUCUGAGAGGAUGAUCAGCCACACUGGAACUGAGACAGGGUCCAGACUCCUACGGGAGGCAGCAGUGGGGAAUAUUGGACAAUGGGCGCAAGCCUGAUCCAGCGAUACCGCGUGGGUGAAGAAGGCCUUCGGGUUGUAAAGCCCUUUUGUUGGGAAAGAAAAGCAGCAGGUUAAUACCACGCUGUUCUGACGGUAACCAAAGAAUAAGCACCGGCUAACUUCGUG
rnacentral:rRNA from 1 species